UACAGAGGUCUCAAGCGUUGUUCGGAUUCAUUGGGCGUAAAGGGUGCGUAGGCGGCGUGGUAAGUCGGAUGUGAAAUCUCGGAGCUUAACUCCGAAACUGCAUUCGAUACUGCCGUGCUUGAGGACUGGAGAGGAGACUGGAAUUUACGGUGUAGCGGUGAAAUGCGUAGAUAUCGUAAGGAAGACCAGUGGCGAAGGCGGGUCUCUGGACAGUUCCUGACGCUGAGGCACGAAGGCCAGGGGGAGCAAACGGGGAUUA
rnacentral:rRNA from 1 species